AGCCAACCCCCACAAAUCUUCCUAAAAACUAAAAGAGCUAUUACUGAGUCUCAGUGAAUCUUGCCAUGAUCAGCUCUUCCCAGAAGAGAAGGAAGACCAAGGAAAUUAUUUGCUCAGGAUGAGGAAUGAAGACGGCCAUCUUGAGCCCAAACAAAGACAGAAGUCCACUGAUGAUCUCAUCAGCCAAAUGAGGGGUUUUGACCAAGUGAUGCUCUUGAAAUGAGUGAAAGAAGAGGAUGUGGUAAAUUGUCUUCAGAGAAAAAGCUUCUCAAAAGGUCUUAAAACAGCUUGAAUAAUGGUCUGGGAUUUUAGGACUGAGAGAUCCUCUGGCUGAGAACAAGCUAUAACACAUCAGUGCUGGAUAUCAACCACAAACUGUUUCCAGACACGAGAGAAGAAGAUCAUGAUGGGGAGAUGAAACCAGUUUAGAUGUGAUGAUAAGGAAUCAUUAUUUUCUGAAACAGUAUAACAUGUGUUAUAGGUAUCACAUGAUCUGUAUCACAGUUGACUGGAUGGGACUGUGACUUUUUCAUCACUCAUCUGUGUGAACUGAUUAAUAUAUGAGGUUAAUGUAUUUUUGAUGAUAAUUAUUUUCCUUGAAUCUUAUUUGUCUUGAUGCUACUUUAUCAACUUUAUAGUCUAUGCUUCAAUCAAAUGAAAAUUGUGAAUAUUGUGUUCUGAAGAUUCUUGGUAAAUACAUAAUUUUACUAGGUAGGCUCAUAUGUGUUUAUUUUAGACUUGGAAAAACUACAUAUUAAUUAUUGGGAUUAUUUUUUACUUAAGUCAUAAACAUUUUUGAUCGGAUUAAUAACA